UAAUUGAUGCCCCACUCGCCGG
rnacentral:misc_RNA from 1 species